UAAGAGCAGUGGGAAUGGGAA
rnacentral:miRNA from 1 species